rnacentral:rRNA from 1 species
UACGUAGGGUGCGAGCGUUGUCCGGAAUUAUUGGGCGUAAAGAGCUCGUAGGCGGCUUGUCACGUCGGGUGUGAAAGCCCGGGGCUUAACCCCGGGUCUGCAUUCGAUACGGGCUGGCUAGAGUGUGGUAGGGGAGAUCGGAAUUCCUGGUGUAGCGGUGAAAUGCGCAGAUAUCAGGAGGAACACCGGUGGCGAAGGCGGGUCUCUGGGCCGAUACUGACGCUGAGGAGCGAAAGCGUGGGGAGCAAACAGG